rnacentral:rRNA from 1 species
GACGAACGCUGGCGGCGUGCUUAACACAUGCAAGUCGAACGGUGAAGCUCCAGCUUGCUGGAGUGGAUCAGUGGCGAACGGGUGAGUAACACGUGAGCAACCUGCCCCUGACUCUGGAAUAAGCGCUGGAAACGGCGUCUAAUACUGGAUACGAGAAGGGUCCGCAUGGGCACUUUCUGGAAAGUUUUUCGGUUGGGGAUGGGCUCGCGGCCUAUCAGCUUGUUGGUGAGGUAAUGGCUCACCAAGGCGAUGACGGGUAGCCGGCCUGAGAGGGCGACCGGCCACACUGGGACUGAGACACGGCCCAGACUCCUACGGGAGGCAGCAGUGGGGAAUAUUGCACAAUGGGCGAAAGCCUGAUGCAGCGACGCCGCGUGAGGGAUGACGGCCUUCGGGUUGUAAACCUCUUUCGGCAGGGAAGAAGCGAAAGUGACGGUACCUGCAGAAGAAGCACCGGCUAACUACGUG